rnacentral:lncRNA from 1 species
GAGGGACUCAGCAAAAGGAAAAAAGGAGGCCAAGCGGCGCAGUUCCCUUGUCCCCAAUAAAAAAAACUCUCUUUCAUUUUCAUCAGUUUCAUUUAUCUUAAGUUUUUCUCUCAAUUUCACACAAAACCCAUUAACACCAAAUCCAUACUCACACCAUGACACCUCAAUCCACAAUAUAUGUUGCAUAUCUCCAUGAAGUAACCGUUUUCCACCUUGGUUCUCUUUUAACUCUUGCUUUCUUUUGUUUUUUUACAUAUAAAAUAUAUUAGUAUCCAAUAUAUAUAUCUUGCUGUUCUUAGAGAUUGUAGUGAUUGUAUGUAGAUAUAAAUAGUCAUAACUUUUAGUUUUAAUUUUAUGUGUUUUAUACUUUCAAUUUUGUUUUUUUAUAUAUAGAUCUCCUUUUUAUUUGCAGCUGUUUUAAAUGAUCAUUUAAAUAUAGAUAUUUCUUUUUGUUUUGUUAUAUAUAUAUAUAUAU